UACGUAGGGUGCAAGCGUUGUCCGGAAUUAUUGGGCGUAAAGCGCGCGUAGGCGGUUGCUCAAGUCGGAUGUGAAAGCCCUCGGCUUAACUGAGGAAGUGCACCCGAAACUGAGCAGCUAGAGUACUAAAGAGGGUCGCGGAAUUCCCGGUGUAGAGGUGAAAUUCGUAGAUAUCGGGAGGAACACCGGUGGCGAAGGCGGCGACCUGGGUAGAUACUGACGCUGAGGCGCGAAAGCGUGGGGAGCAAACAGG
rnacentral:rRNA from 1 species